rnacentral:lncRNA from 10 species
CAGCCUCCCGAGUAGCUGGGAUUACAAGCGUACACCACCACGCCCAGCUAAUUUUUAUAUUUUUAGUAAUGGAGUUUCACCACGUUGGCCAGGCUGCUCUCAAACUCCUGACCUCAAGUGAUCCUCCCACCUCGGCCUCCCAAAGUGCUGGGACUACAGGCAUGAGCCACUGUGCCCGGCCUCACAUUCAUAUUUCUUUGGGUUCAGUACAAGUUGCAUCCUGCGGUCACUGCCUUUAGAGGCCCCUGUCCUGUGUGAAUGCUGCUUAUGGGGACAUGUGCCCCCCAGGAUGGCGAAUCUCAGCCCUCUGAAGCAGGGGAAGUAAGACAAAGUAGUGAGAUUGCAUCCAGAGAGGAACGGGCGAGGGGAAUUCAGGAUUGAGGCGUGGUCAUGAGUCCUUCUCACACUGCUCCUGGCAGCGCUAUGAGAGGUGGUGGCACAGGACAUUUGUAGGAUGCCCUGGAGGAGAAGGGCGGGCAGGAACUGGGCCAGCAACGAUGACAAAGCACAGUCUCCAGCCACAGGAAAGCAAAGGGAAUGACAAAAGUACUAGCAGAACCCCCAGCCCAACCUAGACCACGGGGUGCUCCAGAGAAACAGCCAAUAGAUAGAAAUAUCAGCAUUCAAAGAGAUUUACUGAAGGCACUGGCUGAUGUGAUGGUGGGGUCUGGUGAGGCGAGUCCCAAACUGCAGAGCAAGCCUUCCUCAGAGGCAGCCGGGGCGACUCAGACAGGAGCUGGCGCUGCGGUCCACAGGCGGAGUUGCUUCUUUUCAAUGAAUUGAUCAGACCCACCCAGAUUAUUCGGGAGAUGGGCUUCACUUUGUUGCCCAGGCUGGUCUCCAACUCCUGGCCUCUGGCGAUCCUCCUGCCUCAGCCUCCCAAAGUGCUGGGAUGACAGGCAUGAGCCCUCACACCUGCCCUAACAUUUUGAUGGAUGAAGCCAAAUUGCCCUUCCAGAAGCUUCUGCUUGUGCCCAGGCACAUUGACAUGAGGGCCUCGAAUCCUGCCUGAGCUCCAUGAAGGCUGCAGUGACUUGAGUUGGCGUGAGUGGAAACCUCUGCCUCCACAGUGAAAUGUCACUGACUACUGGAAAUUAGGCGAAUGCAUUAGUGCACAGCAGAGGUGGCACGGGGAGCGGUCAAUGUGUGUCAGUCUCCCCUGGCGGACGGUGGCGAGCUGAGAUGAGGUUGUGUCUGCCUUUGGGAGGUGGGGGAGAGCUUGGCCGAUGAAGAGGGGUGGGGGUGGCGUGGUACGGGAGCUUGGUUGAGUAGAAGGAAUGGGUGAGGGGGAGGUGGACCAGGAGGAUUCCUGAUACAAUAUAAAGACCCAGCUACUGGAGCAGGGGCGCAUUUGCUGACCGUGCUAAUGUUGGUUCCUACCCAUGUUUGUUGACCCCAAAGUUUACUUGGUGACAAUAUCGAGGCCAGCUGAGGACUAAAGAGAAAGGUGGUUGGUGACGGGGCUCCCAGGAUGGGGCCUGGGGGAUGAUGGGGAACAGCUUCUAUCCUUCCCUUCUCCAAUGUGUUUGAUGUCCUUAUUCUAGGCUGGGCUGGCCUGAUAUUGGGCAUCAGUGGCAGCUCUUUGAGCACUUUGCGUUUGGGGCUGAGGCUCUCGAGAACAUUUUCUUGGGAACUUUUACUGUUCUUUCUCCUGCAUGGAGAGGCUUUCCCCAUCUGCUUCCAGGUGGCUUUGCAAUUGAAACUCAACAACGCUGAAGCCCUUCUUCCACACAACCAUGCUGCGGCCUCUCCGUUGCCUUUCCACAUCCCUCCAAUUAAGCCUUUGGCUUCAUUUAUGCCUCAACAUCCUCCUUCUAGUUCCACUGUGAAAUGUUAUGAGAUAAUCCAAGGGAAAUAUUUUCACUUCGAGAUCACCACAGGUUGCACCCUGAAUCUCUGGGUUUGGUGUGGCUGAGCAGAUGGGAUGAAGUGCCCUGGGCACACCUAGCCUGUUCACCCCUUGGCGAACAUGGUGAAACCCCCAUCUCUACUAAAAAUACAAAAAUUAGCUGGGCGUGGUGGCACGCGCCUGUAGUCCCAGCUACUCAGGAGGCUGAGGCAGGAGAAUCGCUUGAACCCGGGAGGCGGAGGUUGCAGUGAACCGAGAUGGUGUCACUGCACUCCAGCCUGGGCAACGAGAGCAAAACUGUCUCAAAAAAAACAAAAACAAAAACAGGGUCAUCGGGCCACCCUGGGCUGGUCGACACAUGAGGAUAGGCGGCUUCCUCACCAGCCUCUCAUUCCUGCCACAGAUCCCAGCACUCUCUAGGGUCACUCAGCACUGAGACCAGAGGUUGACCACUGUUUGUAACUGUGUUUAUGCUGUUGCUUUUCUUAUAGUUAAGAAGAAAGCAAACUAUUUCCACUACCUGUGUCUCUAUCAAAAGUGAAAAAUAAAAGCAGGUGGAGGGUCUCUGGGUUUCAGGGAAAGGGCUUUCCUUCAUACCGAGCAGCACACAGGAAGGCGUGGGCCAAAAUCACUGGUGUCCCGGCUGGGCGCGGUGGCUCACGCUUGUCAUCCCAGCACUUUGGGAGGCCGAGAUGGAUGAAUCACCUGAGGUCAGGAGUUUGAGACCAGCCUGGCCAACAUGGUGAAACCCCAUCUCUACUAAAAAUACAAAAAUUAGUCAGGCGUGGUGGCGGGCACCUGUAACACCAGCUACUCAGGAGGCUGAGGCAGAAGAAUCGCUUGAACCCGGGAGGUGGAGGUUGCAGUGAGCCGAGAUGGCGCCACUGCACUCCAGCCUGCACCACAAGCGUGAAACUCUGUCUCAAAAAAACAAAAACAAAAACAUGAAACAAAAUCACUGGCGUCCACAGCAGCUGGGAGAGGCAAGGACGGGACCUCUGCAGAGCCUGCAGAGUGAGCACGGCCUCUCUGGAUUGGACUUCUGGCCUCCACACCUGCGAGGGAACACACCUGGGUGGCUCAACGCCCUCAGUCUGUGGUGCUUUCUCAGAGCAGCCGCAGGAAACCAAUCCAGCGGGUCGCCUGAUCAUCAACAUGGACGAGAGGGAAGCAAGGACCUGUCGCCUCAGGACACUGUCAACACUUAACUGUGGUUUGAAUGUUUGUGUCCCUCCAAAAUUCACGUUGAAACUUAAUCCCCAGUGCAACAGUACUGAGGAGUGAGAAGGCCGUAAUGGCUCUGCCCUCCGGGGAGGGAUUAGAGCCUCAUAUAUUAUAUUAUUUUAUUUUGAGAUGAGAUUUGUAUUAUUUAUUUAUUUAUUUUUUUGAGACAGAGUCUCACUCUUGUCGCCCAGGCUGGAGUGCAGUGGCGUGAUCUUGGCUCACAGCAACCUCCACCUGCUGGGUUCAAGCAAUUCUCCUGCCUCAGCCUCUCAAGUAGCUGGGAUUACAGGUCCUGCCACCACGCCCGGCUAACUUUUUUGUACUUUUAGUAGAGACGGGGGUUUCACCAUGUUGUCCAGACUGGUCUCGAACUCUUGACCUCGAGUGAUCCACCCACCUUGGCCUCCCAAAGUGCUGGGAGGCGUGAGCCACCACGCGUGGCCUUGAGAUGGGAUUUUGCUGUGUUGCCCAAGCUGGUGUUCAAUGGCACAAUCUUGGCUCACUGCAACCUCCACCUCCUGGGUUCAAGUGAUCCUCCCUCCUCAGCCUCCCGAGUAGCUGGGACCACAGGUGUACACCACCACACCUGGUUAAUUUUUAAAUUUUUUGUAGAGACAGGUUUUAGCCAUGUUGCCCAGGCUGGUGUUGAGUUCCUGAGUUCAAGUGAUCUGUCUGCCUCAGCCUCCCAAAGUGCUGGGAUUACGGGCAUAAGCCCCCGUGCCUGGCAGGAUUAGAGCCUUAUUAUAAAAGGGCUUCCCUUCCUCCAUGUGAGGACACAGCAUUUUACCCCUCUGGAGGAUGUGGCAACGAGGUGCCAUCUGGGAAGCGGAGAUCCUUGACCUUGGACUUCCCAGCUUCAGAACUGUGAGAAAUAAAUCUCUAUUACUUAUAAAUCACGCAGUCUGCGGUGUUUUGUGACAGCAGCAGGAACAGAUGAAAACAACACAAAAUACGUAACGCUUUUGUCUUGUGUUCACAAUUGCCUUUGGGUCACUGUAGCAGGACGGGGCCCCACUCAGCCUACGGAAUAGCAGAGGGCCUUGCCCACUCUACAGUGCAAAUACCACGUGGAGCUCCUCAGCUGAACAAAGAGAAAACUCGGCACAGAGGGAGUGAAUGAUUUGCCCCAGGUCUCGUGUAUGAUCAAUGGCAAAGCUGGACGUGAAAACCAAUAACGAAAAAGAAAGAGAAACACGUGCACAUGGUACUAAGUCCAAAAGGUGCAAAAGGAGAGAUGAUGUGGAGAAGGUCCCUCCCGUCCUCAUCUGCGAUACAGAGAGCAAAAGAGGCGCUGCGCAGACGGGAGACCCGCACACCUCCGUUUGCGGUUAGAAGGGGCAGAAAGGCUGGUGUGGGGAUGAGCUGCCUGUGUUGGGGUGGAUGGUGUCCCACCACAUUCAUGCUCACUUGGAACCUUAGAACGUGGCCUUAUUUAGAAAUAGGGUCUUUGCAGAUGUGAUUAGCUAGGGUAAGGGGAUGUAUACCAGAGAAGUGUGGACCCGAAAUUCAGCGACUGGUGUACUAGUGAGAAGAGGAAAGUUUGAAUACAGACACACACACACAGGGGAAAGGCCCUGGGGAGACGUGGGGAGAGGUCGGAGUGAU